GAAUACACAAGAGAAUCUGCAGAUGGCUCAUUAGAUCAGUUAUGGUUUAUUGGAGAACAGUCAGUUGCCAUGGAUAACUGUGGUAAUUCUAGAGCUAAUACAUGCGAUUAAGCGCGGACCCUUCGUUGGGGAAGCGUGCUUUUAUUAGGAACAAGGCCAGUACGGUCCCUUCGGGGGCCGGUCUCCGCUGGUGAACUCUAGAUAACCACGCCGAUCGCACGGUCUCGCACCGGCGACGCUCCCUUCAAAAGUCUGCUCUAUCAACUUUCGAUGGUAAGUUAAAUGCUUAUCAUGGUUGUGACGGGUAACGGAGAAUCAGGGUUCGAUUCCGGAGAGGGAGCCUGAGAAACGGCUACCACAUCCAAGGAAGGCAGCAGGCACGCAAAUUACCCACUCCCGACACGGGGAGGUAGUGACAAAAAAUAACGAUAUAGGCCUCUUCGGAGGCUCUGUGAUCGGAAUGAGUACACUUUAAAUCCUUUAACGAGGAUCUACUGGAGGGCAAGUCUGGUGCCAGCAGCCGCGGUAAUUCCAGCUCCAGCAGCGUAUAUUAAAUUUGCUGCAGUUAAAAAGCUCGUAGUCGGAUUUCUGGCUGGGGCGGACGGUCCGCCGCGAGGCGAGCACUGCCCGUGUGUCGGCCCUCACGGGCCCGGCACUCUCUCUGGUCAGUUAUUCGGUCGGUCGUGCGGUGCUCUUAACUGAGUGCCGUGCGAGGCUGAAACGUCUACUUUGAGAAAAUUAGAGUGUUCAAAGCAGGCCAAAGUGCCCGAACAGCUCAGCAUAGAAUAGUGGAAAAGGGCCUCGGCUCGUUCUAUUUCGCUGGUCUCUGGAACCUGAGGGUAAUGAUC
rnacentral:rRNA from 1 species